AUACUUGAAUUUCAGUGUUCAUUUAUUUACACAUAUACACACAUAACACUCGUCUACUCAUUGUUGUAUUUGAAAGUGCAAUCCUUUGCAGCCAGUAGCACAGCCUUUGAAGGAGCAUAGGUAUGGGCAGUGUAAUAUUCUGGGUUGGAGUCAAUAACCAGGCGAGGUGAUGAAGUUACGUCUCUUUACUUCAUACUUCAGAACCGACUCCCACACAUGCCCAUGACAAAUUUGUGCUUUGUUUUAAAGAUGUGAUAUUUGGAUUUACACUAUAUGAAAAAAAAUUGAAAAUUAAUUUUACCUUAACCACCUCAUUAUACUAUUGGCUAAGUUUUAUAUUCAUAAAUGUAAGUUUCUCAAUACCCAACCUUUUUUUUUGUGCCUUUAAAAAAGAUUUAGAACUCUACAUUAAAACACUCUCUACCUCUAACAACCAAAAAGCUGUGGAAAGGAUGAUGCUGUGCUCCAAAUUUGGAUUAUUUACGGAACUUGUGUGACCCUAUGGCUUUACAUUUUGUUACAUAUAUAUAUAUAUAUAUAUAUAUGUAUGUAUGUAUGUAUGUAUGUAUGUAUAUAUAUAUAUACAUAUAUAUAUGUAUAUAUAUAUAUGUAUGUAUAUUUUGCAUUCUUCUUUAGUUGCUUUAUUGAGUUUACAAACCCCCUGAUGCUGUUUUGUACUGUUUCUGUACUUGUUUUGAUUAUUAUUUAUUUAUUUUUAUUGUAUGUAAAUGUUCAAUGUUAUAAAUAAAGGUUUUGAAAAGAAAAAAAAAGACUCCCACACUUCCUAACUACAAUACAACGUAAACCGUUGGCCAACCAAAAAGUAACCACAGAACACUAUACGGUAUGGUGUUCUGUGGUUACUUUUCGGUUGGCUAAGCGGACGUGACGACAGGCUGUUCUCACUCAGGUCCGCACGGACCUGGAGGGGGCGUGCCUUAAGUCCGGCUGGAAAUCGGGAGAAAUUCAGGAGAAUGGUUGUCCCGGGAGAGGCACUGAAAUUCGGGAGUCUCCCGGAAAAUUCGGGAGGGUUGGCAAGUAUGGCGUGGAGCUAGCCAACUUGGUGGAGCGUAUCAAUGCUAGUCUGCACCAUGGAAAAAGCUGCUGAUGGUGUGUUUGACGGAGAAGCAGCUGGAUAGAGACAUCGUAGAAGUCCACUCUCCAAGGGGUGUCCAAAGUGCGGCCUGUAGCUCAUUUUUUGACGACCCACGGGCCAAUCCUUAGCAUCGGCAUGAUAGCUUUUUUGUUAAUUUUGCAACAAAAAAAAAUUGCUAACGUCAUUAUACUAGCUUUUUUUUUUAGCAACUUGUGUACGUAUCAGUGACGUGCGGUGAGGUUCAUGUCAGGUGAGGCACUGACUUCAUCACAGUCAGAUUUACAAACAUAUGAACCCUAAAGAGUAUCUUAUUCACCAUUUCAUUGGCAGCAGUUAACGGAUUAUGUUUAAAAGCUCAUAGCAGCAUUCUUCCCUGCUUGGCACUCAGUAUCAAGGGUUGGAAUUGGGGGUUAAAUCACCAAAAAUGAUUCCCGGGCGUGGCGCCACUGCUGCCCACUGCUCCCCUCACCUCCCAGGGUGUUGUCAAGGGGAUGGGUCAAAUGCAGAGGACAAAUUUCACCACACCUAGUGUGUGUGUGACAAUCAUUGGUACUUUAACUUAACUUUAACUUUACACAUACAAACUGUAGCACACAAAAAAGCACAUUUAAUUAAAAAAAACGUUAUGGUCUUACCUUUACUUAUGAAUGAAGUCCAUGCGCCGCUCCUUGUGAACAAAAGCAUCGAUAACUUGUUUAUAGAAGUUUUCCUUAUCUUUCUUCAGUUUUAAAAGUCUCUCUGUCUCGAUGGAGAUGAUCCUUUAAUUAUUACCUCCUGCUUCGAUUGAAAGUCCAGUUUAGAAAACUGUUUUAUUUUAGAUAUGUAAUCCUCCAUGUUAAUAGUCCAGGCAAGAGGAAAAAAUAAACGAUCGCUGCUAACUGUUGCUGCUUGUUGUCACUUCUUCUGCAGCCGAGUAGUCGCAAGAAUGAUAUCUGGGAUCACUACCGCCCUCUACCACCAGGAGGCGGGAUUACUGCGAGCCUCAGCCAGUGUGUCUUCGCAGCAGUUUUAUGAUUGCUCAGCACAAGAAAUACGUUACACACAUACAGUUGUUGACAAAAUACACUGUACAUUAUAUACCUCAGCUAACUAAACUAUGGAAAUGUAUAAUAUAAUUCAUAUAGCAAUACGGUCUCACUGCACAGCAGGCCAGCAGUUAGCCGAGUCA